GUAGGUCCCAAGGGUAUGGCUGUUCGCCAUUUAAAGUGGUACGCGAGCUGGGUUUAGAACGUCGUGAGACAGUUCGGUCCCUAUCUGCCGUGGGCGCUGGAGAAUUGAGGGGGGCUGCUCCUAGUACGAGAGGACCGGAGUGGACGCAUCACUGGUGUUCGGGUUGUCAUGCCAAUGGCACUGCCCGGUAGCUAAAUGCGGAAGAGAUAAGUGCUGAAAGCAUCUAAGCACGAAACUUGCCCCGAGAUGAGUUCUCCCUGAGACUUUAAGUCUCCUGAAGGAACGUUGAAGACGACGACGUUGAUAGGCCGGGUGUGUAAGCGCAGCGAUGCGUUGAGCUAACCGGUACUAAUGAACCGUGAGGCUUAACCUUAC
rnacentral:rRNA from 1 species